GAACUACUCCCUCCGUUCGGAAUUAGUUGUCACAAAAAUGGAUGUAUCUAGAUGUAUUUUAGUUCUAGAUACAUUCAUUUCCGAGACAAGUAAUUCCGAACGGAGGAAGUACCAC
rnacentral:pre_miRNA from 1 species